CCUGAAUUACAUAGCGAGAUCCUGUCAGAGCCCUACCUCCCCCCCAAAAAAAACCCACCCCAACUUAAAUCCAGGCUUUUAGGGGAACCUGGCACAGCACAAGAACUCUGCUAUGUUCGCUUCCGGUACAACAAAAAGACCCGCGGCGCCCACGGAACACAAAGCUCAUUCCCAGCUGGAGCUGCCCGGCUACCGAGGCCGCUGGCGUCCUCUCCGCGCCUGCGCGCUGGCCCUGCCUGGCUGCGCGUCCUUAAUUCCCUUCCGCCCCGGGGCCGGAAGUGGAUCGGAAGCGCAGACCAGAGAGCCUCGUGGGCCCUCGCGUCUGUCCGCUUGGAACAGCUCAGGAAUCGCGGAAGCUGUGAUCUUCGCCAGGUGACACAGGCUCCUUAAUCCGCGGGGCGACCUGACGACGACCUGGGGCAGGUUCUUCCCUUUGGAGAUUAUUCUCAUCCCUUAUGGCCUCGGGCUUGCUCAGGAGCCCUGGCAAUCCAGUGGCGAUUCCAGGUGUGCGUUCUUUUUUGAGGACUUGCUGUAAAUGUUCUCCACGGAGGCCGCAGUUUUUUUCCUUUUCAGAUACUGGGGAUGAAUACAAGCGGGCCCUCAGCUACAUCCCAGCCCUUUAUUUUUUACUUAUAUGGUUUGGUUUGGUUUUGUUUUGUUUUGCGAUAAGGUCUCUCUGUGCAGCCCAGACUGGCGUUGUACUCUCAGUGAUCGUCCUGCCUCAGCCUCCCAAGUGCUGGGAUGACAGGCGUGCAUCAUCACACCCAGCUGUGUCCAGGUUUCUGAUGGCGCAAAUCUCCAGUAAAGUAAGCGAAUGCUUGGAAGAUGAAGCACACCUGUAUCCCCAGCCACUGGGGAGGCUGAGGCAGGAGGAUUGCAAGUUUGAGCCCAACCUGGACAACUAUCAAGGCCCUGUAUAAAAUAAGAGGAAGCCAGAGCGCAACACUGGAGAUUAACUGGGGUCCCUUCCAAAAGCACCCUGUGACCUAAAGACCUCCCCUAGACACCACCUCUCUUUUAUCUUUUUAUACUGGGGAAUGAACCCAGGGCCAUUGCACUGAGCUACAUUCCGAACGCCCUUUUAUUUAUUUAUUUAAUUUUUAAAAAUUCAUUAAGUUUACUGGUACAUUUUAGGUAUACUAUAUCAUGACGUUCAUUGGGAAUUUGUACCUUUACAUGAUGUAUCUUGGUUCUUAUUUUUCCCCCUUCCCCUGCCCUCCCUUCCACCCCUCCACCCCUCCCUAUUUACAAAGACUUUGUUUCAGUUUUUUCCUUUUCUCAUAUUUAUUCUAUUCCCCGC
ensembl:lncRNA